AGAGUUUGAUCCUGGCUCAGAUUGAACGCUGGCGGCAUGCCUUACACAUGCAAGUCGAACGGCAGCAUGGAGAGCUUGCUCUCUGAUGGCGAGUGGCGAACGGGUGAGUAAUACAUCGGAACGUGUCCGUUUGUGGGGGACAACCGUCCGAAAGGAUGGCUAAUACCGCAUGAGACCUGAGGGUGAAAGCCGGGGACCGCAAGGCCCGGCGCAGACGGAGCGGCCGAUGAUUGAUUAGCUAGUUGGGGAGGUAAAGGCUCACCAAGGCGACGAUCAAUAGCUGGUCUGAGAGGACGACCAGCCACACUGGAACUGAGACACGGUCCAGACUCCUACGGGAGGCAGCAGUGGGGAAUUUUGGACAAUGGGGGCAACCCUGAUCCAGCCAUGCCGCGUGCGGGAAGAAGGCCUUCGGGUUGUAAACCGCUUUUGUCAGGGACGAAAAGCUCCGGAGUAAUAUGCCGGAGUGCUGACGGUACCUGAAGAAUAAGCACCGGCUAACUACGUGCCAGCAGCCGCGGUAAUACGUAGGGUGCGAGCGUUAAUCGGAAUUACUGGGCGUAAAGCGUGCGCAGGCGGUUGGGUAAGACAGAUGUGAAAUCCCCGGGCUUAACCUGGGAACUGCAUUUGUGACUGUCCGACUGGAGUACGUCAGAGGGGGGUGGAAUUCCACGUGUAGCAGUGAAAUGCGUAGAUAUGUGGAAGAACACCGAUGGCGAAGGCAGCCCCCUGGGACGCAACUGACGCUCAUGCACGAAAGCGUGGGGAGCAAACAGGAUUAGAUACCCUGGUAGUCCACGCCCUAAACGAUG
rnacentral:rRNA from 1 species